AACGAACGCUGGCGGCAGGCCUAACACAUGCAAGUCGAGCGCCCUUUCGGGGGAGCGGCGGACGGGUGAGUACCGCGUGGGAAUAUGCCCUUCUCUACGGAAUAGCCACGGGAAACUGAGAGUAAUACCGUAUACGCCCUGUGGGGGAAAGAUUUAUCGGGGAAGGAUUAGCCCGCGUUGGAUUAGGUAGUUGGUGGGGUAAUGGCCUACCAAGCCGACGAUCCAUAGCUGGUUUGAGAGGAUGAUCAGCCACACUGGGACUGAGACACGGCCCAGACUCCUACGGGAGGCAGCAGUGGGGAAUCUUAGACAAUGGGGGCAACCCUGAUCUAGCCAUGCCGCGUGAGUGAUGAAGGCCUUAGGGUUGUAAAGCUCUUUCAGCUGGGAAGAUAAUGACGGUACCAGCAGAAGAAGCCCCGGCUAACUCCGUG
rnacentral:rRNA from 1 species